UGUUCCUUAGCCGAAUGGUAAGGCGACUCCUUUACACGGAGUAGAUUGAGUGUUCGAUUCACUCAGGAACAACCA
rnacentral:tRNA from 1 species